rnacentral:rRNA from 1 species
ACUCGAUAUCCACGUAUACUCAACCUUCUCUAGAAAUUCAGCAUGUAUACUGCCGUUGUAAGCAUACCUUUAAAAGAGUAAGUAUGCCCCCAUGAUUAAUAUAUAAACUCAUAUACAUCAGGUCAAAGUGCAGCCAAUAAGAAGGUGAUGAUGGGUUACAACCUUAAAAUAGAUUAUCAACUAAGAAAUAAAAAAUCUUACGAAAGUGGACUUGGCUGUAAUCAAUUUUUAGAUUAAAAAAAUGAAUAAAAAUCUAAGACAUGUACACAUCGCCCGUCACUCUAUCCUAAAGGUUAGAUAAGUCGUAACAAGGUAGGUGUAAUGGAAAUUGCACCUGUCGAAGUAUAGCAUAUAUAAUGCUUUUUACUUACACUAAAAAUAAAGUUAGUAACUUACUUCGCCCACAUAAUAAAACCCUAUAAAUAUAUAAUAAUAGAAACAACUAAAUAAUAAUUAAAAAUAUAGUACAGAAAUGGAAAUAUUAAUAAAUAAAAGUAAUUUUUAAUAAUUGUACCUUGUGCAUUAUGGUUUUACAAGAAAAUAAUUAAAAACAUAAAUCCCGAAUUCUUAAUGAGAUGUUAAACUGCUGUUAUGAACCAAUUAAUAACUGUAGAAAAAGUUUUAAAAGACAGUUUAACAGAGGCUACAUACCAUCCGCAUAAGAACAUAGCUGGUUUUCAACAAACAUUAUACAUUAAAGCAUAUAAUAUAUUAUAGUGUAAUAUUAUUGAGGAUAAGCCCAAUAAUUCAAGCAAUUUAUAACAACUUCAUUUUCAUAUUUAUAGGCCUAAAAUCAGCCAACUAUAGUACUUUACCGUAACAUAAAUAUACUCAAUAAAUAAUUUAGUAUGCUAGAAAAAGUUGAAAUAAUGUAUAAAUUAACUAAUUCAUUAAUAAUAUGUAAAAAUAAGUAUUAUAGAACUACAUAAAUAAAAAUCUAGAAUAAACAAAAAAUAAAAGACAAAUAAUUAAUUAAGGAACUCGGCAAAGCAUUAUUUCGACUGUUUAACAAAAACAUUGUCUCAUGAAAAAUAUAUGAGAUAAUACCUGCCC